rnacentral:rRNA from 1 species
GACGAAGGAUCCAAGCGUUAUCCGGAUUUAUUGGGUUUAAAGGGUGCGUAGGCGGAUUGAUAAGUCAGUGGUGAAAGCCUGCAGCUUAACUGCAGAACUGCCAUUGAUACUGUCAAUCUUGAAUAUGUUUGAUGUGGGCGGAAUAUGACAUGUAGCGGUGAAAUGCUUAGAUAUGUCAUAGAACACCGAUUGCGAAGGCAGCUCACAAAGCCAUUAUUGACGCUGAGGCACGAAAGCGUGGGGAUCAAACGGG